UUCGGUUCCCUGCUCUGCUGUCUGUCUUUGUCCAUGUGGUGCCACAGUAUCUGCCUUGUUUUUUCGGGAAUCCACCCCACUGGCCAAAACUUAAAAAAAAAUUUUUUUUUAAUGUUUAUUUUUGAGUGAGAGAGACAGAGUGUGAGCAGGGGAGGAGCAGAGAGAGAGAGAGAGAGAGAGAAAGAGAGAGACAUAGAAUCCGAAGCAGCUUUCAGGCUCUGAACCGUCAGCACAGAGGCGGAUGCGGGGCUCGAACACACGAACAGCGAGAUCAUGACCUGAGUCGAAGUCAGACCCUUAAUCGACGGAGCCACCCAGGCGCCCCCCCCCCCCCCCCCGCUGCCAAAAUUUAUUGCCCAUGGCCUGGCACCCCAUCCCCGUGAACUGCUAGCUCUCUCCUGCAGGGGGUCUGGCCCUACCACCAGAAAGCUUAAGGGUUAAACUUGGGAACGGACAAUAGUCACAUUACCAUCCAUUCAACAGAGACCUCCUUCCAACAGCCCAAAGAAGAGAAUCAGAAAAACCUUGACCUGCUCUUGUUCCAGUAGCUUCUGCGGCCAAGCUGGAGCACCCCUCUCACAGUCUGAUCGAUUCAUUCUUCUUUUGACACCGUAAUCCAAGAAUUCCUCGCAGCCGAAUCUAUAGGCAGAUAGGUUUCUACUCCCUUGAAACCAAGGGUAAUAAGGUACAGUUUCAUACACAUUUACUCUCCAGCUCAACCUCUGAGAUCCUAACUUUCCUUAGAAACAAACAGCUAGAAAAAGAAUCGGUGGGAUGAGAUGGCCUCUGAUACGAGUUGAACCGUGUGUCUCUCCCAAAGAUGCGUUGAAGUCCGAAGUCAGCGUUUGACAUUCUUUGCAAAUAGGGUCACUGUAGAUGUAAAUAGUUAAGAUGAGGUCAUGUUGAAAUAAGAGAGCCCUUAAUCAGAUGUAGCUGGUGUUUUCACAAGAAGAGGAGAAGACGCACAAAGACAGAGGGAGGAGACGCUGUGUGACGAGGGGGCAGUGAGUGGAGCCAGGCAUGUACAAGUCAAGGAAUGUCAAGGACUCCCGAUUGCCCCCAGCACUGGAAUAUGAAGGGACCACAGGCGACUUUCAGGACUUCGAAGAGUGGGAGAAUAUACCAGGGAGACCUGGGAUCGCCCUGCAUCUCAUCAGAGCUCUGUCGGGGGGCUCAAACUCACAACCUCAAGAUCAAGAGUCCCACGCUCUACGUGCUGCUCUACCGUCUGAGCCAGCCAGGCGCUCCCAGGAUUUUUGAUAGGAACAGAUUUCAGACUUCCAGGGCGAUGAGAAGGAUAAUGGUAUGAGGUUUCAGAUGAGUGCUUGGUCUCAAACACCGUGGCCCUGGAGCUCCAAAGUUCCGGAAGGUAAGUAAAACGCAGAAAUACAUUCCUGGGGAGGAGGGAGGAUGGGUGCAGGGUGAGAUAGGCAGGGAGAAGGGACACUUGAACUUCCUGCGCUCCUUCCCCUGGCCCCCUUGUGCCCUGUGACCCAUGACCGGUCAGUGCGCCCGCGGCCCUGUGCAAUUUCUGCAUUUCUGGGGUAGCCCCACCUAGCAGAUGCCAAGAGAAAAACACAGUCCCCCAGAGGGGUCGGAAUGGCCAGUCACCUGUGCUCUUUGCUGAAGAAAGGGGAGCAGCCGCCCCCAAGAAUUCAAGCAUGCAAGGGUGCUUUCAAAUCACUGUGAACUCUGGUUCCUGGGAGCGGUUAUCACAAUUUUUUUGUGUUGACCCCUGCCCCCCCGGCGCCCCCCAGUUCCACCGCCGGGAAAAGCCUCUGUGGGACAGGCACAAAAUGCUCACUGAGAACCCCAGCCAGCUCACCGGCCGUCAAAAUCAAGGUGGGGUUUACUCCGUUUCAAGUGGCAGAACAGUCUCUCUGAUCUGGGGGAGACUUUAGAAGUGGGGGCAGAGCGGGGUCACAGGCUAGCCCAGACCACGCUCUCUGCAGCUUUCUCGUGACUGCAGACCAGUUGUGCACAAAUGUGGCCAGGACGCACGCUCGUCGCCCAGGAUGCUCACAACGAAAUGUAAAGAUCUCUUGUCCUUGUAACGUUAGACGACGUUUCAGGACGCAGAAUCCCAGGCCAGGCCGGCAGCGGGGAGGCGAGCUAUCUUAGAAGCAGAUGGAACAAAAGAUCGGGUCCCUAGUCCCUGGGGUGAGAUGAAAGGGCAAGACGUCAGCCCAGGACCACCCAGGGAAAAUUAAAGACAGAUCGACUUUUGAUGGCUUAUGUUCACAGAGGGGAGAUAGAGUUUUGAUCUCGGCAAAGACAAACACCACAAACUUUACCCGUAAUCACUGUUUAUCACCCUCCUAUCCUGGAGUAGCAGGGACUGCUAAGUAGCCACAAAUAAGCAGUGGAGAGGAGGCUGCUAUUUCCUGCCACUCAGCCCGUCCCCUGUGGGCUGGCGUCCUCCGCGGGCUGGCGAGCUGGGUGUGACGCCAAAGGAAAGGGCCUCGAGGUUUCCCAGCCAUUGAAUAAAGAGCAGAAAAUGAGUCCUACCGGGGUCGGCUCCCCUCCUCAGCUCCAGGCUGCGACUGCAGACCACCCUGGCUAUGCCUUGGAAUCAAGGGCAGCCCACCCAGCUCCCCGGCCACCCAGCCCACCUGCCCACGGCGGUGGCGGCACCCGGGGGCCUCGCCCACCCACCCGGGAUUGCAGGUGGGACGACUCUAACUGUACUCUCGACCCGAGCCCUCGUUCAGCUGUUUGCAAAAAUAUGCUAUGCUCAGAAGUAGAGAGCGUGUGACAGUCUCGGGUGAGACUCACCCCUGAGCAAGAUUUAUAUUGAUAAGCGUUCAUCUAUCUGCUGUAUCUUGCUCUCUCUUAAGCAAAUCCCAGACAUCGUGUCAUUCCACUCCCUCAUGCUUCAGGGAGCAUCUCUGAAAACAUCGGCAUUUUCUACAUACCUGGAAUAUCACUGUCACUCCUAAAAAAACUUAAGUCAUUCCUUAAUGUGACCCAAAUCACAGUCCAUUUCCGCUUUCCCCUAUUUCCCCAAACGGUCAUUCUUAGUUGGUUGGUUGGAGUCACUGGUUAAAAAAGAGUCACGUAUUUCGUUUGGUUGUUAAUGGUCCGACGACCCUUUUCAUGGAUAGCAGCACCUCUUACUUUUUUUCUUUUUCUUUUAUUUAUCUAUGUUGAGAGAGAGAGAGCAGGGGAGGGGCACAGAGAGAAAGAGAGAGAGAGAGAGAGAGAGAGAGAGAAUCCCAAGCAGGUUCUACAUCAGCAGCACAGAGCCUAACACAGAGCUUGAACUCACGAACCUCGAGAUCACGACCUGAGCAGAAACCAAGAGGCAGACGCUUAACCAACUGAGCCACCCAGGCGCCCCCCUCUCACUUCUUUCUUAAUGCCGCUGAGGGGCACCUGGGUGGCUCAGUCGGUUGAGCAUCCGACUUCGGCUCGGGUCAUGAUCUCACGGUUCGUGAGUUCAAGCCCCGCGUCGGGCUCUGUGCUGACGGCUCGGAGCCCGGAGCCUGCUUCGGAUUCUGCGUCUCCCUCUCUCUCUGCUCCUCGCCUGCUCAUGCUCUGUCUCUGUCUCUCUCUCUCCCUCAAAAAUAAAUAAAACAUUAAACAAAAUCUUAACGCCGCUGACCUCAGCAGUAAUCAGGGUAGUGCCCAUCCACCCGAAUCUUUCAGUCUACCCCAGUGAAUUCCAUCCUAACUUCCGCCCUCUGAUAGGAAGUUGGGCUUGAACGAGAUGACAUUUUUUAUACUGUGUGCAGGCACUCCUUCUCCAAACCAGAAACUUGGGACAAUCUGGCCCCGCCUUAUCUUCUCCAAUACAUGUACCACGAUAAUCCAUACGUGGACCUUCUGUUGUAACCAAACAGGGUUUUUAACAUUUCUCAACCACCCUUUAUUUUUCCCAUCUCUUUACCGCUGCCCUUCCCAUUUACCUUAAUGUGAAGUAGUGUGACUUAUCAUUGUGCCAAUGUACCGAGUUUGUUAAGGCGUGGCCCUCAAAUCUCACACUUGAGGAGCCCCACACUUUGACCCGAACCGGAAUUUCCUACCCACACCCUUCCACCAAAUCCAGGCCAACCCCGUGGCCACUCCCUUGCCCGCAGCACCAGGCUUCCUCUGGGCUCGUUGCCUUCCCUUCCCGGCUACCCUUUCCCUUUGGCGCUCCUUGCCCUCUACUCCCAGACCCCUCGGUCCUUCUACCCCACUCACAGCCCAAAUCCGGGAUCAAUCCAUCCUGUUGUCUCUACUCUUACCACAGGCUACUUGGGAGAAAAAGAAGCACGCGGGUCACUGUCACUGGAAAUGUAGAGUGGCCCAGCGCCGGGACUCACUGUUAUCCCUUGAUCCUAUCACUUGUCACUCGUCAGCAAUUUCCACCCUUUCUCGUUAGCCCCUUCUUACAAAUACACGGAGUACUGCUCAGGUAUUUUGUAGGAAAUCCCUCUAUUGGGGUUUGUCUGCCAUUUUUCUGCUGGUUACACUGGGAUGAUGUGUUUGGGGGAGAAAGAGGUUAGAGUGUCAUGUUUCGCACCCCAUGUCAAGUGAAUACACUGUCAGCAUAACUUAUCACCGUUGGUGCUGACCAUGAUCCCCUAGCUGUGACGGUAGGUGGCACGUUUCUUCUCGCUGAAGUUAUCCCCCACCCCUCUCCGUACUCUCUGGAAUCAAGUCAUUGCAUGCAACCCACACUUAAGAUGCUGGCCAUUAGACUAUAUCAGAAUGGACUCACGGAUAUUUAUUUUAGCCCCCAGCUUAUAACCCAACACGAUUUUAUUUACUUUGUUGCUCAGAUUGUUCCAGCUUUGGAGCUCUUUCCAUUGGCUCUUUUUUGUCCCUUUGAUUCUUUUUUUUUUUUUUAAUUUUUUUAAAAUGUUUACUUAUUUUUGAGGGAGAGAGAGACAGAGCAUGAGCGGGGUAGGAGCAGAGAGAGAGGGAGACGCAGCCUGAAGCAGGUUCCAGGCUCUGAGCUGUCAGCACAGAGCCUGACGCGGGGCUAGAACUCACGAACUGCGAGAUGAUGACUUGAGCCGAAGUGGGACGUUUGACUGACUGAGCCACCCAGGCACCCCUGUCCCUUUGAUUGUAGAUUUUGACGAGUACCAUCAAAUGGCUUUCCAUAAAUGUUGUACUCAUGCAUGUUCCCACCAGUCAUGCAUGUGUUAGUGUCUCUUCCCCAACCCCUUGCCAACACAGUAGUUACCAGAUUUUUUGCCUUUGCCAAUCAAAUAGGUAAGCAAUGCAAUGUCACUUUUGUUCUUCUUUGUAUAUCUUAUAUUAUGAAUUAAGUAAAGCAUAGUUUCGUGCUUAAGGAUCAUGUGCACUGUGUGUAUGUAUGGCUUGUCUCUUAAUAUCCUUUGCCACCUUUUCACUGGGAAGUUAGUCUACUAUAUUGAUGUUUAGUAACUCAAAUAAGGUAAGAAAAUCGUGCACUUAC